UGUCUCUGAACACUCGGUUGGUGAUAACAGGGCGGACAAGUCUGUUGGUAUGGAGAUUGUUCCGGUGAUGAAUGACACUACCCGACAUCCGGUGGAAAAUACUAUAGUGUCAGAUACACAGGUUGAUAUUGUCACUCUGCAUUGUAGCAAUACAGACAUGGCUUUGACUGUGACGCCAGGAAAGGAGACAAUCCCUGAGGCCCAACUUGGGUCGUCUUCCUCUGCGGAGACUAUGCUUCAGGUCCCGCAAUCGGAUCUAGCUUUGGUGGUGAUGCCAGGAAAGGCGAUGAUGGAGGAUUCUCC
rnacentral:lncRNA from 1 species